rnacentral:rRNA from 1 species
CAGUAGCCGCGGUAAUACGGAGGGAGCUAGCGUUGUUCGGAAUUACUGGGCGUAAAGCGCACGUAGGCGGUUAUUCAAGUCAGAGGUGAAAGCCCGGGGCUCAACCCCGGAACUGCCUUUGAAACUAGAUGACUAGAAUCUUGGAGAGGUCAGUGGAAUUCCGAGUGUAGAGGUGAAAUUCGUAGAUAUUCGGAAGAACACCAGUGGCGAAGGCGACUGACUGGACAAGUAUUGACGCUGAGGUGCGAAAGCGUGGGGAGCAAACAGGAUUAGAUACCCCGGUAGUCCCUGUCUCUUAUAA